AAGGAAUUCGGACGUCACAACGACCGAUGCUCUCCCGGCGCUGUGGCCGCCCUCGGGCGGGCACGGCGCGGGGUGAACCGCGAAGGCGAGUUCGUGCUCCGAGUCGCAUCCAAGCGAAGCGUCCCGGCGCACGAGCUGCCGCCUGAGCUCUCGGAUGCAGUGCACCAGUCGGGCGGGGUUGCCCGACGACCCCCGUUUGCCCGAACUCGGCGUCAAUCGCCCGCACCGAACGACUGUCGUCGUCGCCUCGAGGCUGCCGCGCCCCGUCGGGGCUGCCGGGCUCGUGCGACGCUGGCGUCGGUUAGGAAUGCU
rnacentral:misc_RNA from 1 species